UCGAGAAUCUUCCACAAUGGACGAAAGUCUGAUGGAGCGACGCCGCGUGAUCGAUGAAGUGCUUCGGUAUGUAAAGAUCUUUUAUGAGGGAAGAAGUUUAUUGACGGUACCUCAUGAAUAAGGGCCUGCAAAACUCGUGCCAGCAGCAGCGGUAAUACGAGUGGCCCAAGCGUUAUCCGGAAUUAUUGGGCGUAAAGGAUGUGUAGGUGGUUAUAUUAGUCGGGUGUCUAACCUCUGUGCUUAACAUGGAGACAGCAUUCGAAACGGUAUGACUAGAGUAUAGUAGGGGUAAGCGGAACUCAUAGUGUAGGGGUGAAAUCCGUUGAUAUUAUGGGGAACACCAAAAGCGAAGGCAGCUUACUGGACUAUUACUGACACUGAAACAUGAAAGCGUGGGUAGCGAAUG
rnacentral:rRNA from 1 species